UACUUGGAGGACUAGUGGUUAGGCCUUAGCACUCUCACCGCUGCCACCUAGGUUUGAUUCCUGGCCAGGGAA
rnacentral:tRNA from 1 species